UGGGAAUUUGGACAAUGGGCGAAAGCCUGAUCCAGCAAUGCCGCGUGUGUGAAGAAGGCCUUCGGGUUGUAAAGCACUUUUGUCCGGAAAGAAAUCCUUGGCUCUAAUACAGUCGGGGGAUGACGGUACCGGAAGAAUAAGCACCGGCUAACUACGUGCCAGCAGCCGCGGUAAUACGUAGGGUGCAAGCGUUAAUCGGAAUUACUGGGCGUAAAGCGUGCGCAGGCGGUUUGCUAAGACCGAUGUGAAAUCCCCGGGCUCAACCUGGGAACUGCAUUGGUGACUGGCAGGCUAGAGUAUGGCAGAGGGGGGUAGAAUUCCACGUGUAGCAGUGAAAUGCGUAGAGAUGUGGAGGAAUACCGAUGGCGAAGGCAGCCCCCUGGGCCAAUACUGACGCUCAUGCACGAAAGCGUGGGGAGCAAACAGGAUUAGAUACCCUGGUAGUCCACGCCCUAAACGAUGUCAACUAGUUGUUGGGGACUUCAUUUUCCUUAGUAACGUAGCUAACGCGUGAAGUUGACCGCCUGGGGAGUACGGUCGCAAGAUUAAAACUUAAAGGAAUUGACGGGGUCAUAGCUGUUUCCU
rnacentral:rRNA from 1 species